AGGGGCGUAGCUCAGUUGGCAGAGCACCGGUCUCCAAAACCGGGUGUCGCAGGUUCGAAUCCUGUCGCCCCUGCCA
rnacentral:tRNA from 1 species